GGCUGCAUGGUGAGGGAGUUGGUAGCACUGUUUCCUUGCAGCAAGAAGGUCCUGGGUUCGAAUCCCAGCCUGUGGUCU